UACGUAGGGUGCGAGCGUUGUCCGGAAUUACUGGGCGUAAAGCGCGCGCAGGCGGUCUUCCAAGUCAGUGGUGAAAGCCCGGAGCUCAACUCCGGAACUGCCAUUGAAACUGUAAGACUUGAGGAUGAGAGAGGUGAGUGGAAUUCCCAGUGUAGAGGUGAAAUUCGUAGAUAUUCGGAAGAACACCAGUGGCGAAGGCGACUUACUGGACACAUAUUGACGCUGAGGUGCGAAAGCGUGGGGAGCAAACAGG
rnacentral:rRNA from 1 species